rnacentral:rRNA from 1 species
CGCUAUCACUCCUACGGGAGGCAGCAGUGGGGAAUAUUGCACAAUGGGCGCAAGCCUGAUGCAGCCAUGCCGCGUGUAUGAAGAAGGCCUUCGGGUUGUAAAGUACUUUCAGCAGUGAGGAAGGUGGAUGCGUUAAUAGCGUAUUCAUUUGACGUUAGCUGCAGAAGAAGCACCGGCUAACUCCGUGCCAGCAGCCGCGGUAAUACGGAGGGUGCGAGCGUUAAUCGGAAUUACUGGGCGUAAAGCGCAUGCAGGUGGUUUGUUAAGUCAGAUGUGAAAGCCCGGGGCUUAACCUCGGAAUUGCAUUUGAAACUGGCAGGCUAGAGUCUUGUAGAGGGGGUAGAAUUUCAGGUGUAGCGGUGAAAUGCGUAGAGAUCUGAAGGAAUACCAGUGGCGAAGGCGGCCCCCUGGACAAAGACUGACGCUCAGAUGCGAAAGCGUGGGGAGCAAACAGGAUUAGAUACCCUGGUAG